AGCCUCAAGAUUCCUGGAGGUGGAUGCUGGUGACGGUCAGCCUAAGAGGCAGCUCACGAUUCCUGUGAAAAUCGUACGUUACCUUCAGUUCAUUCAGAGGAUCCAAAGACUCUAUAUGACCGAGGAAACCGCGAAACAGAUGACAUGGCACAAAAAAGAAUCAGUCGUGGAACGCAUCGAACGACCCUCCUCCGGACCAGAACUCGCCGGCGGCUCCGUGGCAAUCUUGCCCCCCCCCCCCACCUGACCGUGAGUGACACCUGCUCGUAGCUUGUACACUAGUGGACUUGGCGCGUCGAUGGACUCUUAGCUUGUGGACAUAUUUUAUGUAUUGGACUUUAUAUAUGUGAUGGACUCGUUCUAUGUGAUGUAUUGUCUAUCGGACUUGUGAUAUAUGUGAUGGACUCGUUAUUUGUAUC